rnacentral:rRNA from 1 species
GACGAACGCUGGCGGCGUGCCUAAUACAUGCAAGUCGAGCGGAAGUUGGAGAGCUUGCUCUUCAACUUUAGCGGCGGACGGGUGAGUAACACGUGGGCAACCUGCCCUGCAGAUCGGGAUAACUCCGGGAAACCGGUGCUAAUACCGAAUAGUUUUCGCCACCUCCUGGUGGCGUACGGAAAGACGGUUUCGGCUGUCACUGCAGGAUGGGCCCGCGGCGCAUUAGCUAGUUGGUGGGGUAACGGCCCACCAAGGCGACGAUGCGUAGCCGACCUGAGAGGGUGAUCGGCCACACUGGGACUGAGACACGGCCCAGACUCCUACGGGAGGCAGCAGUAGGGAAUCUUCCGCAAUGGACGAAAGUCUGAUGGAGCAACGCCGCGUGAGUGACGAAGGUUUUCGGAUCGUAAAACUCUGUUGUGAGGGAAGAACAAGUACCACUUAACUACUAGUACCUUGACGGUACCUCACCAGAAAGCCACGGCUAACUACGUGCCAGCCGCCGCGGUAA